rnacentral:rRNA from 1 species
UACGGGGGGGGCGAGCGUUGUUCGGAAUUACUGGGCGUAAAGGGCGCGUAGGCGGCCCACUAAGUCAGACGUGAAAUCCCCCGGCUUAACCUGGGAACUGCGUCUGAUACUGGAGGGCUUGAGUAUGGGAGAGGGAUGUAGAAUUCCAGGUGUAGCGGUGAAAUGCGUAGAUAUCUGGAGGAAUACCGGUGGCGAAGGCGGCAUCCUGGACCAUUACUGACGCUGAGGCGCGAAAGCUAGGGGAGCAAACGGG